rnacentral:rRNA from 1 species
GACGAACCGUGCAAACGUUAUUCGGAAUCACUGGGCUUAAAGGGCGCGUAGGCGGGCUCGCCAGUCAGGGGUGAAAGCCCACGGCUCAACCGUGGAAGUGCCUUUGAUACUGCGAGUCUCGAGGGAGGUAGGGGCGUGCGGAACUUCCGGUGGAGCGGUGAAAUGCGUAGAUAUCGGAAGGAACAUCGGUGGCGAAAGCGGCUCACUGGACCAUAACUGACGCUGAUGCACGAAAGCUAGGGGAGCAAACAGG